AUGACGGAGAGCCAAGACGCAUGUCCAGGACGCCGGUUGGCCUGGCUAAUCAUUCCGGCAACAACUUUAAUUGGCAACUACCAGUUGCAAAUGGCUGCUUAAUUAGCGGCCCGUCCUGUCUGACUUUGCCUGUGGGUCCGGCAAGGGCGUAAACAAGCAGGCUGGCCAAGCCGGUUUUUCGGGCCGGUAAGGCAAGACUCAAUCCCGAAAUAGCUGAGUUUUGAGCCUGUCGUUUGGCGCUUAAUAAGGCGAAAAUAGUAAAUAGAACGACUAAACAUGUAGAUGCUUGUCUUGAAGCAUCUCGGGACGGGGGUUCGAAUCCCCCCGCCUCCAUUC
rnacentral:tmRNA from 1 species